GACCUAGUAGCGAAGUGGCAUCGCAUCCGCUCAGCUUCCCAAUGAAGGUUUCGAGUCUCCGCGGAAGACACCCGUUCGAUUCGGGUCUGGGUCG